AGUAGAAAUUAUGUCUUUGAUUUUACAUUUUCACACUUAAAUGACUCUGAAUGUUGUAACUACUGCAUUUUGCAAUCAAUAGCAUAUUCCAAUUAGAGAACUCCAAUAACAUGUUCUCCUUCCUAGGGUCCAGGCUCCCAUCUCCUUCACAAAUUGAAAUGAAGGCUGAGAGGGUAAAACCAGUGGGUCUUUAGGAGACUGUGUAUGAAGAUUUGACUUGGGCAUUAAACACCUUUGUUUUCUGCCUCUUCCCACCAGGAGAAGUUGCUCCAGUGCAAGGAACUGCAUUCGACCUGAGAAAGCCAGUGGAGCUUGGAAAACACCUGCACAAGUUCCACAUCAAUGGUUUUGACCACAACUUCUGUCUGAAGGGAUCUAAAGAAAAACAUUUUUGUGCAAGGGUACAUCAUGCUGGAAGUGGGCGGGUACUAGAAGUGUAUACCACCCAGCCCGGGGUCCAGUUUUACACGGGCAACUUCCUGGAUGGCACACUGAAGGGCAAAAAUGGAGCGGUCUACCCCAAGCACUCUGGUUUCUGCCUGGAGACCCAGAACUGGCCUGAUGCUGUCAAUCAGCCCCACUUCCCACCUGUGCUGCUGAGGCCUGGUGAGGAGUAUGACCACACCACCUGGUUCAAGUUUUCUGUGGCUUAAGGAAGUAGGAAGAUAUGAAGUGGUUCCAGGCUGGGCUGGGAGCUCCCUCAGCAGCCUGUCUUCUGUCCAGAGAUGAAGUGAAGAUGUAGAGACUUUCAAAGUGAUCCUAUGAAUUUAAAUCAUACAAAUGGUAGCUGACAUGAUAGUUAAGUCUGAAUACUGAUUGCUUUUUCCAGUGA